rnacentral:rRNA from 1 species
UACGUAGGUGGCAAGCGUUGUCCGGAAUUAUUGGGCGUAAAGCGCGCGCAGGCGGUUCCUUAAGUCUGAUGUGAAAGCCCCCGGCUCAACCGGGGAGGGUCAUUGGAAACUGGGGAACUUGAGUGCAGGAGAGGAAAGCGGAAUUCCACGUGUAGCGGUGAAAUGCGUAGAUAUGUGGAGGAACACCAGUGGCGAAGGCGGCUUUCUGGUCUGUAACUGACGCUGAGGCGCGAAAGCGUGGGGAGCAAACAGG